AAAAAUUCUCCUUGGCUCUCCAGGACCGACACGGCUGACUGAGCAUGUAGGGAGGCUGGUCAUACCUCUUUUUUAUUCUACAUUCUGAAAAUAGAUGGCUUUCUUUUCAUGGAUGCAGUCAGGUUGCUCUUCUAGCUAUCGGGCCUGUGAAACAUCAAUAUAAUGGGAAAAGUUAGUUUUUAUUUGUUUGUUAGAGUAUGGUCCCACUCUUUGAGGGCAAAUCUCAAAGCUUGGCAGCUUCUGCCACCAGAAGGCAGUGCGUGCAUUCUUGCAAUGGUAGAUGUGUUCUUUCUUUUUAAAGAUUUAUUUAUUAUUAUACAUAAGUACACUGUAGCUGUCUUCAGAGCCACCAUGUGGUUGCUGGGAUUUGAACUCAAGACCUUUGGAAGAGCAGUCAGUGCUCUUACCCACUGAGUCAUGGCGCCAGCCCAGGUAGAUGUGUUCUUGCGGGCUACUCUAAGUGUGUGGUAGGCAUGCACUGUGAAAUAAUCCCUAAGUGAACUCUAACUCCAAAUGCUCUGGGAUCCACUCUUGUAGCCCCAUGAAGGUCGUGUAGCUUCUGGAAUUCUCUUUUUCCCUCAAUACAAGGAAAGAACUAGUGUUGAAAGCUGAUUUUAGUUCCCCAGUUCAGGAACACACUAGAAUUGGAUCUCUUGCUCAGGAUUUCUCCUGAGGAUCCUCAUAUUAUAGUGUGUGUGUGUGUGUGUGUGUGUGUGUGUGUGUGUGUGUAAUAUUUUCCAUCUGAAGAAAUUAUUUUUCUCUUAAGAAUUAAUUCUAAUUUUAUAACGUCAGCAACAUAGAACUGAAUGAAAAAUGUUUACAUUGUAUCUUUGUCACAAUUAUUUUAAGUAAGUUUACUUCAAAUACUUCCCAUAUGCUGGACACUGGAUUCGACCCCCAGAGACAGGGUGAGAAGGAAGAUUGGUAUAGCCUUCUCCUUCAUGGAAAAUAAAGACAUAUAUUGUUAUUGUAACUUAAACAAUGUGAGAAGAACUGCAACUAUCUUAACAGGAUUAAGCAGGGUAACCUGAAAAGGCUGGACACAUUUACAAAAGAAUGGCCUGGUUGUGCAAAUUGUGAGAACAGAGAGAACAUUCUAGAACAUUCCAGAGAGGACAGCGUGUGCAAGGCCGUCCAGAAUCCAAGAAAGUGUAAAAUGCACAGGACCUAUUUCUUUAGAGUUUCGUCUCAGCGAGAAAAGAGUGCACUGAAGAGUUUCCAGGAGAAAAAAUUAGGCCGGCUGUCACCGGCCUGGCACCACUUUUACUGUGUGGGAAGGAGUCCAAGUGCAACCGUCUCUAAACACUGUAAUAGUUAAAGUACAAUUACACUUGAAUGUGCCCUGCAUUACACCAGCAAGUACAUGUGCUUGCAAGUCUGACUGUAAGCACAGGAUGAGGAAAAAUGGGGAACGGAACUGGUAGUCUGCCAGGCUCUUCUGUGCCCUCUAAAACCAGGCCCUUGUUUCUUGAAUUGACAGGACUAUGCAGAGAAUUAUACUAUGCUGAACAGUUCUCAGGUUGUAGUGCUACUGCUUCCUAUUACACUUAGGACUUAAUUUUCCUGUGCUAGUGGCUACAAUGAGACCAGUGCCUACAGAAUUGUUUCAGUCUUUUCCAAAUACCCUGAAUCCCUCUGGUCCUUAAGCCAGGUCACAGAUGUGGGCUUGGUACCAGAUUGUAACAAGUUGUAGGAAGAUUAAAAGAACAUUCAAUUUAGACCGUGCUAGUAUAUUCUGAGAUCUUGCUUGCACCAGCCCACAGAAAUCUUGAACUCUGGCCUUUUCAGACACCCACUUUUAUAAACACUUGAGUCUAAAUGAGGGACAAACUCACAGAUGGCUGACAGAAACUGUGCUUUCUAGAGAUUUUCAUAAACUUAUUUCAGUGCAGAAAGAAAAGAUGAACCCUGAAGAGAUAGAUAUCUUAGCUGUUUGAAAGGUGCCAUGAGCCUGAACACCUGAAUUCAGAUCUUAGGCUCCCACAGAAGACUGGCUGUGGUUAUACAGCUGUCACCCUGGAGCUGUUGGGAUAGAAACAGAAGGAUCUGUGAGUACUCGGUUCAGAGACAGACCCUAACUCAAAAGAUAAGGCGAAGGAUAGCAGUGAAGGCCACCCAACACCAAAAUCUGGCCUUAGCAUGCACGUGGCAUGUUCAUACACAAACACAUGACCCUCCAACAAACACACACCACAUGUGAAGCCAGGCAGGCAUGGUGGCAGGCAUUUUAAUCCCAGCUCCAGGAAGCAGAGGCAGGCAGAUUCCUAGUGUCUACCUAGUACAUGCUUUGUCUGGAAAACAAUAAUUCCAGAGAAGGCUGACCUCUGGCUACCUUACACAUACAUACUCACACACACAUAUAUACAUGAGAGCCUGUAUAUACAUGAACAUUUAUGCACAUACGCCAUACACUCAAAAGAAAAGAGAUAAAUAUAGCAGCUGACCUUAUAUAUAACCAACCAUAUAGUGUUCCGUGUUAAGAAAGUCUUUGUUAUCGCUUCUCAACCUUUGGGCUAAGAUCAAGUGAAAAAAAGUCUUUGUUGUUAUUGGUUCUGGUGCUGGGCUGGGACCUAAGGAUUUGUUGAGUGCUAGGCAAGUCUUCUACCCUUCAGCUCCAUCUCUAUCUAACCCAAGAAGGUGUUCAGAGCAAAGGCUUAGAGUACACUAAAGGGAAUUUUCUUCAGACAUAAGGUUCUAAAUUAAAAUAACUCUGGUUUUGCUUCAAAGAUGAUUCUGGUGCAGACUCUGAAAGACCAAUGAAGAGUCUCCUGCCCACAUCUUAGGCUUCUCACCCCCUACCUCAGGUUUGGUACUGUGUGCUUUCUCCUCUGUGAUGUCCAGGGCACACACAGCCCUGGAACCUGUGAGAGCUUACCUAAGGAAAAGAGAAGGAAGCAUGGGCCCCACUGCAGUAAAUGCUUCCUGUAAUAGGACCCUGAUUCUAGUGGCCCAGAGAGAUGCAUUCUGGGAUUGGAGAUAUAGCUCAGUUAAUCUGCUGUUUGCCUAACAUGAAGCCCGGGACUCAAUCCCAGUCAUGCCUGAACCAGAGGACAUGGCACACACCUAAAACCUCAGCACUCAGGAGGUAGAGGCUAGAGGACCAGAAGGUUGAGAUCAUCUUUAGCUGUGAACUGAGGUGGAGGACGGAGGAUCAGGACCGUGUUCACUGUCAUGGUGAUCUAUGGAAUAAGCACAAAGCCAGCCUGAAUUACAUGACCCACAUGCAUGUGCAUGUAGGCAUUGUGUGUGUUUGUGUGUGUGUGAACUAGGAAAGGUAAUGGAUUCUAUUUUCGUAGACACAAAUGUCAAUAUUUUUCUUAUCUCUUCUCUUUAUUUAACCUUUUCUGAACCACAACUCUCUACACACAUGCUGCUUCUCCAUUCAGUAGAUGUCGCAUCAGAGCACAUACAUGUAUAUCAUCUCUGCACCCAGCUUGGACACAUCUCUGCUACUUUGAGUCCUCUAGUGUCUUCAGAUGAUUUUCUUAAAUAAUCCCUUCUCAAUGGGACUUAUUCUCCCCAGCCAAUCUGUUACAAACCUUAGCAUCUACUUACGCAGCAAGCAGCUCAGAGUCACCUUAUCCAAUCUGCUGUAUCUCCAGUUUCCUAAAAGUGUUCCCAGUUGUAUUAAAGCCCUAAUAAAUAUUGACUGACUAUGGCUGGGAAGAUUGCUCAGUAGGUAGAGUAUUUGUCAUGAAAAUGUUAGAACCUGACUUUAUACUUCUGGAAGCCUUGAAAGAUCAGACAGGAUGAAACAUGUCUUUAACUUGGCAUUCCUUUGGCCAGAUUGGAGGUGGAGUCAGAAGUCCCAGAAGAGACCCAUUCUCCCACAAGGUGAAAAUAGAAAACCAAUACCCAAGGUGGUCUUUGAUCUCCAUGUGCACUGUGGCACAUAAUUGCUCACACAGACACCUACAUAAACAUGCACACACAAGUACACACACAUGAAGAAAAAUAAAGGAAGAGGCUCUCCUAAGUGCUCUUAGAAUCUAAAUAUGCUCUCACAGUCAAUAGGAUUGAUAAAUACUUUCCAAGAGCUCAUUAAACCGGAAGCAUGGGUCUUUAUGUUACAAGAUAAAUAAAAUUAUUCUAAUUGGAAAAAU
ensembl:lincRNA Gm10287 predicted gene 10287